UACGUAGGGUGCGAGCGUUAAUCGGAAUUACUGGGCGUAAAGCGUGCGCAGGCGGUUUGCUAAGACCGAUGUGAAAUCCCCGGGCUUAACCUGGGAACUGCAUUGGUGACUGGCGAGCUAGAGUGUGGCAGAGGGGGGUAGAAUUCCACGUGUAGCAGUGAAAUGCGUAGAGAUGUGGAGGAAUACCGAUGGCGAAGGCAGCCCCCUGGGCUAACACUGACGCUCAUGCACGAAAGCGUGGGGAGCAAACAGG
rnacentral:rRNA from 1 species